GUUGGCCCCUACUGCAAACCACCAAAUCACAGGAGAGGUGUGAGGCAGGGAAGCCUGAUCAUCCCUGGGCAGCUGUGAGGCCCACCUGGCGUCUUUCUGCGGGAUCUCUACUGAUCUCCAUCCUUCUGUCAGCUUCCUCCUCUCCCCUGGGCAUUCAGGAAGCAUCAGGCAACUUUACUUAAAGAGGUCCUGGGCUUUCAAUCACACAGUGACCCCCUGUGAGGAAACACCACAGGCCUCCUUCCAGACAGAGACUGCCAAGCACAUCUCAGGGAGAUGGACACUGGUUGAGAAACUGCUAAAGGCCUCUAGGCAGAGCUGACCUAGUAAUGGGAAAGGCUGCCUCCUGGCCAUGGAUAACAACCCAGAGAGCCUCCCUCUCCCCCUCAUCCCUCUCCCCUGUGAUGGCCCCUGACUCCGCAGCCUUUGAGAGAAAGACCAAGAGGCUUUGGAGUUGGGCCAGUACAAAGAGGAGGAGGAGGUCAGGUCUCCAGAUGCAUCCAUUUUUUGAGGCCUCAUCUCGUCCCAUAGGCCACUGCUGCCGUGUUCUAGUGUCCUGCUCAGCUGACCGGUGCUGCUCAGAGGAUGGAAGGGCUGGGCGGGCCUGGUUCCUCAAUUGCUGGGUAAAGCAACUGAAUCAGCAGGAAUGGCAGGGCUGGCAUCUGUCCAGAAAGGAAUCUGAGUGAGAAACCAACAGGGAAGUCAUAAAUGAAGUGUUUUAAAGGGAAUUCUGGUGAAAUGAAGAGCGCCCUCCAAAAAUCCACUCAGUGAAUGAAUUCAUUCAUUCAGUUCUCUUGGAACUUCAGAACGUGACCUUAUUUGUAAAUGGGGUUUUUGCAGAUACAAUAAGUUAAGAUGGGAUGAUACUGGAUUGGAGGUAGGUCUUAAAUCCAACAUGACUUACGUCCUUAUGAGAGGAACACAGAGGUCAAGAGACACACAGAGAAGACCGUGUACCAACAGAGGCAGAAAUCGGGGCGAUGUGUCUACAAGCCAGGGGAACACCCCCAGAAACCACCAGAAGCUAGGAAGAGGCCAGGAAGAGUCCUUCCCUGGAGCCUUCAGAGGGAGCGUGGCCCUGGACACCCUGAUUUCAGACGUCUGACCUCCAGAACAGUAAGAGAACACAUUUCUGUUUUAAGAUGCCCAGUUUGUGGUGCUUUGCUUUGGAAGCCCAAGAUAACUAAUAAAGAUAUCCAGGGAAUGAAGACGAAGGCAGAUGUCAUCAGACUCACUUCCCAGGGACUAUCCAUUUCACCCCAAAGUCACUGGCGUUCCUUAGCCCAUGACCUAAGCAGCAGUGGUUAGAUGUAAUGUUUGAGCGUCAAGGCACACACAGGAGAAGGAUGGGGCCCUCUCCUUGCUUCCUUUACGAUUCCCAAUGCUGGAUUGAUCCCGGAGUGGUACUUCAGAAAUGCUUCUCCCAAUAGCAGGACUCACGGCCAGUCCUGGGAGUUCAGACGGUGAGGGGGAAGCAUUUUGUGGUCUGUGAGCAGGUGACUAUUUAUUCAACAGUCUACGCUCCUGCCAGAAACAAACCAGCUACUCCCGCCUGGAAUUUUUCUACGUUGAGGUUGUCGGAGGAGGAGGGAAAAUGGCCUCCACUUCUGGACAACAUGCAGAGAACCUGGACAGUGUCGUUUCCACUCCUGGUGGUUCUCACUCUGGCCUUGGCUGACUCUGGACCUGCCCUGAAGCUGAGGAGGUUUCUGUCUAAGGCAAGUGGUGAUUUGGAUUCCACCUAGAAUGGCUCGUGACACUGCAAAAAUAAUUCUUCUGUACAGUUCACAUUGUCUGGCUCCUGUACAAAGAAUAGCUAGUGUACUCCUGCGUGGGGGAUUGCAGAAUCAGAAACUACAUGGCAUCGUACAGCUCAGUGAUGUGAGAACAUGGCCAGAUCCUCUGGGCCCUUCAUUACUGUCUCCCUUUGAGGGAAAAAACCAGCUGGGGUGACAGAGCCAUAAUUCAGAGAAGUUUAUUUUUUAUGUUUAUUUAUUUAUUUGUUUGUCUAUUUUGAGACAGAGUUUCACUCUUGUUGCCCAGGCUGGAGUGCAGUGGCACAAUCUCAGCUCACCGCAACCUCCGCCUCCCAAGUUAAAGCAAUUCUCCUGCCUCAGCCUCCCAAGUAGCUGGAACUACAGUUGCCCGCCACCAUGCCCAGCUAAUUUUUGUAUUUUUAGUAGGGAGAGGGUUUCAUCAUGUUGGCCAGGUUGGUCUGGAACGCCUGACCCUGUGGUCCACGCACCUCGGCCUCCCAAAGUGCUGGGAUUGCAGGCGUGAACCCCCACACCUGGCCAAUUCAGAGAAGUCUAACAGUCUUUCCCUUUUCAAGGAUUGUGAUCAAGGGCUGCAGAACAGACAAGUUUCUCCUCUGAGCAGGUGGGAUGAGGUUUCUGUUUGCCCUCAACAGUAUCACAUUCUUCUAGGAACUGGAUAUUUCAAUCAGUCUCCAGCAGACCUCUCUUCCUCCAGUGUAUAAAGUAGCAGACACUAACUAGAAUCACUGUGAAAUGAAGAGUAAGGAAAACUGUUCCGUCUUUAGUGCAAUGCCUGACUUAGAGUAGGACUCAAUCAAAACGUGAUCCCGCCUCCUCUCAAACCUCCUUUAUGCCAGGAAAUCAGUUUACUCUCAGCUAUGGCCAUAGGAGGCUCUAAGUCUUGCCUGUAGCAGUGAUCAGUGUUUUAACGUUCCCUGGUCAUGCCCCACGGGGAACACACUCCACACUGCAGAUGGAAAGCCACAGAGACUUGGCUUUGGUGAGGGGCAUUCAGCCUCACAGUGCAGCUGCUACGCCAGUGCACUACUACUGGUUGGGC
rnacentral:lncRNA from 1 species